AAUUUCCCCGCUUUUGGGAAGGUUUGGGAGUUACGGCAUGAGAUUGGAUUUGGAAUCAAGCGUUCUCGAGCCGUUCCACGAACAGAGCACAUGUGACACACGGUGCCCUUGCUCUGCCCGGCCGAAGAAAGAUGCAAUGUGACCUUGCAAAUGCAGAUGCGUCCUGCUCCUGACCGAGUCAUGAAUAAUGAACAGACUCAGCUCCCUUGCCGCUGCUACUGAGUGCCGUACUACGAGGCAAGAUCUGCUUUUCUUCAGUCUGCCUUUGUAAAAAAGACCUUUGGGUAAAAUAAGGCGGAUGAGGAAGACGGGUUGCUGCCCUUGGACCCACUAGAUGUAUUGUCUUCCAGCACGAUCAUGGAAGACAAUCAUCCUUGACUGGAAGGGAUUGCUGAAGAAGACCCACUCGAACUAAAGGGCCACCCACUCAAAUGACAGGUUUAAAAUGACCAAGAGAAAGGACUUUUUAUGCAAUGUUUAAUGACCUAGUGGAAUUUGUUAUCCCAGGAGGGGGUGGAGGAAGACAGCAGGGCCAGGUUCACAUUCAUGGAUGGUAGAGCUAUAAAAGGCUAUUGAACAGCAUGGAUGGAGAUGUUUCCUCUGGCAUCUCUAACCCAAUAAUGGUGGAGGCCAGGGAGGGGAUGCAAAGGGGAUGGAUCGCUAGAGCUGUCUGGGUCAAUAAUCGCCUUGUAUAGCAUCCAAUCCUGCCAUUGUUGGACAGGAUAUUUGGCUACAGACACCAUUGGUCUGACCCGGUAUGGCACUGCUGAUGUUUUCAUCAUAGACAACGAGGGCUGGAAGGGAGCUCAGGAGGUCACAUCUAGUCCAACCCCUGCUCCGAGCAGGACCAGCCCCCACUACAUCAUCCCAGACAAGACUUUGUCUACCUGGGUCUUCAACACCUCCAAGGAUGGAGACUGCACCACCUCUCUGGGUAACCCCUUCCUGACCUUUACUACCCUCCUAGAGAGAAACUUUUUCCUAAUAUCUAACCUCAACUUCCCUUGCUGCAGCUCGAGACCAUUGCUCCUUGAGCUGCCAUCUGCCAAUGCUAUGUUCUUGCCCAUGUCAUACAAGCCCAAUGAUUUGAUAAAGAUGGUCCAAGUUUAAGGAGAGGCAAUGAAGUCUUACUUGGGAGUAUCAUGGGAGGGCAAAAUCAACUGGAGAUGAGGUCACCUGAAUCCGGCACCUGUCAACUCACUGGCACCUUUCUCCUUUCAUCUCUCCUGUCCUCCCUCCUGACCCCUAGCCAUAUUUUCCCUUUAGCACUGCAAUCAGCCCCUCUCUUCCCCAUGCAGCGUGACCUCAAAUAGUAGAGACCCUAAAAGUUUCUCGCCCCGCUCCCUGAUGAUACAGCUCCCAGGGACAUGGCUACCUCAUCGUCACCCAAGGCAGCAAGAUCCAAGCAGGUGAGCGUGUUCGUGCAGAGCUUUAAUUGCACGACGUGGCGAGAUCUCCAGGGCCGUGCUCACGGGUUGCAACCGCCGCUGUCUCCGAAACAAAUCCGAUGCAUGCAGCUACCUCGGCAGAGUCGCUGGUGGAGUUCAGCAGGAUCUUUUUGGGUAACAGCAAGGUGAUGAGAUGCUGUGCUGUGGACCGACAGCUCCAUGGACCUCCACGGGUCACCGGAGACGCAGUGUGGUGUUUUGGAGACGAUAACUGCGUGGGAGCCUCUGUCAGUGAGGACCACCUGGAGCCUUCUUGAGAGAUGGACAUGGGCAUCAGAGGACCCUGAUGAAGAAGGGGCAUAGAUGGGCCCAUGCAGCUCCUCAUGGAAGGAGGGGGUAGAGACAGGAGCCUGCAUUUGGGGAUAUGUGUCAUUUGUUUUUUAAAUGACCCAUCCCAUCCUCUGCUUUAUCUAAGUGUUUGCAAGACCCCUGUCUGGAUGCCACUUUCUUUUUACUAGCAUGUGCCCCUGUAGAAAUUAGACCACCACCCAAAACACCACACAGCAAUAGCUCUGGGAGAGGACGUGUUUAUGGGCCUGAGAUAUCUCGCAUGUCUGUGGUCCUCCUGAGACCAGCAGAAGUUGGUCUGUAGGGCUCCACUUCCAUUACAGAGGAACGGACAGAGCCCACGGCCAAGGCAUGUUGCAGAGAGGCCAAGGGAGGAAACAGUCCUGCAUCCUAAUGAAAUCGGGGCACAGAAGUCUAUGAAUUAGGACCAUAUGUGCUCAUCCGAUGGGGGUGCCAAACAAGGGACCCUAACCAGCUCGAUGGCAAGGCCAGCACUGUGGGCUGCCUGAACUCUCUAUGAUCAAAUUCCUGUUUCCCCCAGUUUGAUGCCCAGGAAAACACCACUUGUGCAAAGAGAGGUGCUACAAAAUAAUGACAAAAAGGACAAAAAGGACAUUCUUCUCCAGAGAUACUACCCAGUAGUACUAUGGGUAUGACAUUCUUCUCCAGAGAUACUACCCAGUAGUAUCUCUGGAGAAGAAUGAUAUAACACGGGGAAGUCCGUGUGCUGUUCCCAGCUUUGUCCUCCGCUCCUUUCUUAGGAUAAGUUUCUUCAGUCAUAGCUUGGAAACGUAGGUGCGUACAGCUAGACUGCAAAAUCCACAUUGGGACAGCUCAGCAACUUGGCCUGGUUUUCAGACAUACUGGUCGCCCCUGACUCUCUACCGGGAGGGAUUUGGAUGCGAUCUAAAGCGCCUCUGGGAAUCCGGCCACGUUAUUGGGUUUCCUAAUUUGAGGCACUUCAGCUUCAUCGCGUUGUCCCUCAGUUCGGGCCUCAGGUUCCUGAAGGUGACAAAAUUCACACGCCAGGCUUCACGGGGCUGCGGUGAAAUGUAGUCUUCCCCUUACAAUACCCCGAGGGCCCUGGGUAAAGACUUGUGUACCAGAACAAAGCCCGGCGCAUUUUGCCGCAUACGUAUGGGAACGCAGUCCUCCCUGCUGUAGCGGCUCCAUACUGAACAGGAGCAGAAGCUGAACUGCCCAAUCUGUGUACAUACUAUGGCACUGGGAGUGUUGAACUUCAGACAUAUGGUUUAAAUAUUCUAAUAGAUGUGGUAAUCCUUUUGGUUUCCAAAUAAUGUCAUGGUUGAGUCGAUUUAUGGUAACGCUAUCUUAAGCAAUGAGGGUAAUAAAAAGAGUUUUAAAUGUGAAGAA